UACGUAGGGGGCAAGCGUUGUCCGGAAUCAUUGGGCGUAAAGCGCGUGUAGGCGGCUCGAUAAGUCUGCUGUGAAAGUCCAGGGCUCAACCCUGGGAUGCCGGUGGAUACUGUCGAGCUCGAGUCCGGAAGAGGCGAGUGGAAUUCCUGGUGUAGCGGUGAAAUGCGCAGAUAUCAGGAGGAACACCAAUGGCGAAGGCAGCUCGCUGGGACGGUACUGACGCUGAGACGCGAAAGCGUGGGGGGCGAACAGG
rnacentral:rRNA from 1 species